UGCUGUCAAAAAACUCAUUAUAUUCACUAAAUAUAAGAAAAUAUCCAUAAAUUGGUAAAAAUUUCUUUAGGAAAGCAAAAACAACUUUCGUGAGAGUUUCUAUCCUAAUAUUUUUAUUCUCAAAGUCUCGCUUCUAUGUUGUGUUCUCCAAAGUCUUUCAGUUGCGGUAUAAUUAUAAUUAAAUCUAGAGGUGGUGUAGGUUUUUUUUACUAAAAUUUAUAAAAAAAAAAGUUUUCUUUAAAAAUUAAAUUAAAUAUAUAAAAUUAGCAGUAAUUCAUGGUAUAUUUUGUAAAUUUGUGGUUGUUUCUUUAAUAGUAAAUUACUAUCAACGCUGUGACUUGAGUAUUAUUAUAUUGUGUGCUGUGUUGUGUUUGAUUUGUUUAUUAUUUCAGUGUUAUUAACAGAAAAAGGAUUUAACAAGCACUAAAAAUUAGGUGCAAUUAAAAAAAGUAUUAUUUUCAGUUCCAUUUUUUUAUAAUUUAGUUAUGCUUUUUACGCGUAGACGGACUUUCAUAAAAAGUUAAAAGAAAAUUGUUACAAAAAUUAGAGAUGCAGUAUUUACAAAAACACUCCAAAAUUUAAUUAAAGAAAUUGCAACAAUUAAACUAGUUUAAAGAAAAAUAUAUAAAACAUUUAUUCAAAGCAUUACCACUGUCAUCAUCAUCAUUAUCAUUAUUAAAAUAAUGUUAGUUAAUUUGCUCUGAAAUUUUAAAACAAAGUGUUUUUUAUGUGUUAUAGCAUCAAUCACUCACUAAUCAAAUAAUUAGAGGAAAGAAAAGCUGUGCUUUUUUUUAAAUUAUUAUUGCUCGAAAAUUAAAAUUUUUAAAUAUAAAAAUAAAAAAGUAAAUUACAAAACGUACACGCUCUAUUAUGUAUGAAAGUUAUAGAUUUUUAAAUUCACUUUUUCGCGCCACAAUCAUUCCCGGAGUAUUUAUUAUAAUUUGGCUAACUGGGUUGUAAGUAUUGCUCUC